rnacentral:miRNA from 1 species
UCCUGCUUCAUGUUUCUUUCAAGAAUGCUGCCAGAUAUGGUGUGCUGUCUGUAAUCUCAGCACUUGGGAGGCUGAGGCAGGAGGAU